AAGUAGAACGCUGAAGAGAGGAGCUUGCUCUUCUUGGAUGAGUUGCGAACGGGUGAGUAACGCGUAGGUAACCUGCCUGGUAGCGGGGGAUAACUAUUGGAAACGAUAGCUAAUACCGCAUAAAAUUGAUUAUUGCAUGAUAAUUAAUUGAAAGAUGCAACUGCAUCACUACCAGAUGGACCUGCGUUGUAUUAGCUAGUUGGUGAGGUAACGGCUCACCAAGGCGACGAUACAUAGCCGACCUGAGAGGGUGAUCGGCCACACUGGGACUGAGACACGGCCCAGACUCCUACGGGAGGCAGCAGUAGGGAAUCUUCGGCAAUGGGGGGAACCCUGACCGAGCAACGCCGCGUGAGUGAAGAAGGUUUUCGGAUCGUAAAGCUCUGUUGUAAGAGAAGAACGGGUGUGAGAGUGGAAAGUUCACACUGUGACGGUAUCUUACCAGAAAGGGACGGCUAACUACGUGCCAGCAGCCGCGGUAAUACGUAGGUCCCGAGCGUUGUCCGGAUUUAUUGGGCGUAAAGCGAGCGCAGGCGGUUAGAUAAGUCUGAAGUUAAAGGCUGUGGCUUAACCAUAGUAUGCUUUGGAAACUGUUUAACUUGAGUGCAGAAGGGGAGAGUGGAAUUCCAUGUGUAGCGGUGAAAUGCGUAGAUAUAUGGAGGAACACCGGUGGCGAAAGCGGCUCUCUGGUCUGUAACUGACGCUG
rnacentral:rRNA from 1 species